rnacentral:lncRNA from 1 species
UUGGGAAUAGGAGAAGCUCAGGUUUAUGUCUACCCAACACUAAUAGAAAGAUAAGAAAUGCACCAGAGAUGGUGAAGGAGACCACUAGAAGCUGGCAGGGGAGCCGGAAAAGCGCCAUAUAAAAGAGCCAUGGCUCUCGAUUCUGAGGCAAAGGUGACGGUGGAGCACUCUUCAGGCAUGAGGGCCGGUCAUUCCCAAAGCAUGAGAGCAGAAAAUGCCAGUUUGUCCUGAUCACUCUGGAAAAGGGAACAGUGUCUGGUGACCCUAGGUGGCUGAGGCUCCGUUAAAAAAAAAUGAAGCUUUAAGAAGUGAAUGGACUUAUCUGGGGAAGAAGACUUCCUAAAUGUGGAUCCAGAAUCCAAGAUGAGGCUCUCUGUCCUGCACCACACUGCCUCGAGGAGGAGAGAGGGGCUUCUUGGUGUCCUGGAAAGAUCCCAGAGCUGUGAUCAGCCGCAUUCGAUUCCAGGCUCUGCCUCCAUUGUUGUGUGACCUCGAUGUCACCAGUAAAAUAAAAAGCAUGAUGGCAAGAUGAUCUC